GAUGAACGCUAGCGGCAGGCCUAAUACAUGCAAGUCGAACGGUGUCUUCGGACAUAGUGGCGCACGGGUGCGUAACACGUAUGCAACCUACCUUACAUUGGGGGAUAGCCCAGAGAAAUUUGGAUUAAUGCCCCAUAGUAUAGUUUUUUCGCAUGAAGAGAUUAUUAAAGUUCCAACGGUAAAAGAUGAGCAUGCGUCCCAUUAGCUAGAUGGUAAGGUAACGGCUUACCAUGGCGACGAUGGGUAGGGGUCCUGAGAGGGAGAUCCCCCACACUGGUACUGAGACACGGACCAGACUCCUACGGGAGGCAGCAGUGAGGAAUAUUGGACAAUGGGCGCAAGCCUGAUCCAGCCAUGCCGCGUGCAGGAAGAAGCAUCUAUGGUGUGUAAACUGCUUUUGUACGGGAAGAAACACUCCUACGUGUAGGAGCUUGACGGUACCGUAAGAAUAAGGAUCGGCUAACUCCGUG
rnacentral:rRNA from 1 species